rnacentral:rRNA from 1 species
UAACACGUGGGUAACCUGCCCUGAUGAUUGGGACAACCCGAGGAAACUCGGGCUAAUACCGAAUGUGCCCUCCGGCCAUAAGGCCGCUGGGAAAGGAAGCUUCGGCCUCCGCAUCGGGAUGGGCCCGCGGCCCAUUAGCUUGUUGGUGAGGUAACGGCUCACCAAGGCAACGAUGGGUAGCUGGUCUGAGAGGACGAUCAGCCACACUGGGACUGAGACACGGCCCAG